AUUGAACGCUGGCGGCAGGCUUAACACAUGCAAGUCGAGCGAGCGGCGGACGGGUGAGUAAUGUCUGGGAAACUGCCUGAUGGAGGGGGCUAAAUACUGGAAACGGUAGCUAAUACCGCAUACCAUCAUAUGUGCCCAUAUGGGAUUAGCUAGUAGGUGGGGUAAUGGCGCACCUAGGCGACGAUCCCUAGCUGGUCUGAGAGGAUGACCAGCCACACUGGGACUGAGACACGGUCCAGAAUCCUACGGGAGGCAGCAGUGGGGAAUUUUGGGCAAUGGGCGCAAGCCUGACAAAGCCAUGCCGCGUGUGUGAAGAAGGCUUUCGGGUUGUAAAGCACUGUUAGUGGGGAGGCGUUACCCAAAGAAAAAGCACCGGCUAACUCCGUGCCAGCAGCCGCGGUAAUUC
rnacentral:rRNA from 1 species